GACAGAGGGGGCAAGCGUUGCUCGGAAUCACUGGGCGUAAAGGGCGCGUAGGCGGGUCCGCAAGUCGGUCGUGAAAUCCUUCGGCUCAACUGAAGGGGGUCGGUCGAUACUGCGGGUCUUGAGGGAUGCAGAGGAGACUGGAAUUCCCGGUGUAGCGGUGAAAUGCGUAGAUAUCAGGAGGAACACCGGUGGCGAAGGCGGAUCUCUGGGCCUGAUCUGACGCUGAGGCGCGAAAGCUAGGGGAGCGAACAGG
rnacentral:rRNA from 1 species